CCUUCUCCAUCCAUGAGCUUG
rnacentral:misc_RNA from 1 species